CCUACGGGUGGCAGCAGUGAGGAAUAUUGGUCAAUGGACGCAAGUCUGAACCAGCCAUGCCGCGUGCAGGAUGACGGCUCUAUGAGUUGUACACUUCUUUUGUACAGGGGUAAACCCCGAUACGUGUACCUGGUUGAAAGUAUCUUACGAAUAAGGAUCGGCUAACUCCGUGCCAGCAGCCGCGGUAAUACGGAGGAUCCGAGCGUUAUCCGGAUUUAUUGGGUUUAAAGGGUGCGUAGGCGGUUUGUUAAGUUAGAGGUGAAAUGUUGGGGCUCAACCCCGAAACUGCCUUUAAUACUGGUUGACUUGAGAAGAGUUGAGGUAGGCGGAAUGUGUGGUGUAGCGGUGAAAUGCUUAGAGAU
rnacentral:rRNA from 1 species